rnacentral:ncRNA from 1 species
UUAAAUAUUUAUUUAGUUCUGGUUAGGUUAAAUCUUUUAAAAAAUGCGCUAUAUGGAUUCAAUAAGACAUAAACAAAGUUUUUCCAGUAUUGAAUAUUCUUUAAUUUUUAAUAUUAGAGCAAUUUUUUUCAGUGUUAGCUAACGCUUCGUGCCAGCAACUGCGGUUACACGACAAACGCAAAAGAUUAAUUUUGGAUAUAUUUAGUUAAUCGUAAAUAUAAGAAUUAAAAAGAAAAAAUUAUAAGUAUAAUUUAGUAAUUUUUAUAGAAGAAAUUCUUUUAUAUGAUGAACCUAAAAAAGUCUUGCCAAAACAAUAGGAUUAGACACCCUAGUAAUAGAUUUAUAUAUAAAAUCCAGAGUAUUAAGAGAAUUACACCUUCAAACUCAAAGAAAGUGGCGGCCCUAGAAUUUAUUAGAGAGUCUUGUUUUUUUAAUAAGAUAAUACCCAAAAUACCUUACUUUCAAUUUAAACUUUUAUACCAUCGUUUUCAGUUCACAUAACAUUAUCCGAGUAUAAAAGCUAGUUUUUUAAAUAAUUAAAAAACAGUAGAAAAAUUCAGAUCUAGGCGAAGUAAUAUUGAAAGAAAAAAUGAGACUCAUUGACAUUAAUGGAAUGAAUUAAAAUCUCUAAAAGGAUUAUCAAAAAAGAGAAUUUAAAAGUAAUCUCAGAUUAGAAAGCAGAGAUGAAUUUAAUCCAUAGGGUGUACAAAUCGCCCGUCAACCUCGAGGUUACUUGAGAUAAGUCGUAACAGAGUAGAAGUAUCGGAAGAUGCUUCUAGAGAAUA